CCCUUAGAUGUCCUGGGCUGCACGCGCGCUACACUGAUACAUUCAUCGAGUGUUUCCUUCUCCGAAAGGAGUGGGUACUCUUCUGAACGUGUGUCGUGAUGGGGAUAGAUUAUUGCAAUUAUUAAUCUUCAACGAGGAAUUCCUAGUAAGUGCAAGUCAUCAGCUUGCGUUGAUUACGUCCCUGCCCUUUGUACACACCGCCCGUCGCUCCUACUGAUUGAAUGUUCCGGUGAAUAAUUCGGACUGCGGAUGCAGGGCUUGUGCCACUGUGUUUGUAGGAAGUUUGGUGUACCUUAACAUUUAGAGGAAGGAGAAGUCGUAACA
rnacentral:rRNA from 1 species